UACAGAGGUCCCAAGCGUUGUUCGGAUUUACUGGGCGUAAAGGGCGCGCAGGCGGCCAUUAUUUGUCGAGUGUGAAAGCCCCGGGCUUAUCCUGGGAACUGCGCUCGAAACGGGAUGGCUAGAGAUCGGGAGAGGAGCGUGGAAUUCCCAGUGUAGAGGUGAAAUUCGUAGAGAUUGGGAAGAACACCGGUGGCGAAGGCGGCGCUCUGGACCGAGACUGACGCUGAGGCGCGAAAGCGUGGGGAGCAAACAGG
rnacentral:rRNA from 1 species